rnacentral:rRNA from 1 species
AUUGAACGCUGGCGGCAGGCCUAACACAUGCAAGUCGAGCGGAGCGGCGGACGGGUGAGUAAUGCCUAGGAAUCUGCCUGGUAGUGGGGGAUAAGGUCCGGAACCGGGAGCUAAUACAGAAUACUAUCAGAUGAGCCUAGGUCGGAUUGGCUAGUUGGUGGGGUAAAGGCCUACAAAGGCGACGAGCGGUAACUGGUCUGAGGGGAUGAUCAGUCACACUGGAACGGAGACACGGCCCAGACUCCUACGGGAGGCAGCAGUGGGGAAUAUUGGACAAUGGGCGAAAGCCUGAUCCAGCCAUGCCGCGUGUGUGAAGAAGGUCUUCGGAUUGUAAAGCACUUUAAGUUGGGAGGCGUUACCAACAGAAUAAGCACCGGCUAACUUCGUGCCAGCAGCCGCGGUAAUUC